rnacentral:rRNA from 2 species
UGGGGAAUAUUGGGCAAUGGGCGCAAGCCUGACCCAGCAACGCCGCGUGAAGGAAGAAGGCUUUCGGGUUGUAAACUUCUUUUGUCGAGGAAGAGUAGAAGACUGUACUCGGCGAAUAAGCCACGGCUAACUACGUGCCAGCAGCCGCGGUAAUACGUAGGUGGCAAGCGUUGUCCGGAUUUACUGGGUGUAAAGGGCGUGUAGCCGGGUCGGUAAGUCAGAUGUGAAAUCUGGAGGCUCAACCUCCAAACUGCAUUUGAAACUGCUGAUCUUGAGUAUCGGAGAGGCAAUCGGAAUUCCUAGUGUAGCGGUGAAAUGCGUAGAUAUUAGGAGGAACACCAGUGGCGAAGGCGGAUUGCUGGACGACAACUGACGGUGAGGCGCGAAAGCGUGGGGAGCAAACAGG